GCGCGAAACGGUUGAACGCAUGCGCAACAUGAUUUUGGAAUGUUUCUCUGCGAAAUAUUUCUCUUCGCCGGGUAGUUGAAUUCGUUUCUACUCCGUUGCGAAAUGGAAAUAGCGAAACCAAUCAGAUGCUUGUGUUUUGGAUGACAAAAUAGCGAAACCAAUCAAAUGCUUGUGUUUUGGCGAAUUUUUUCUCCAAGUGUGGAAAUCGCUACGAGAGAAAAUUUUCGCACAAGUGUGUUUUCGCUCGAAAUUUUUCGCAUUUCGCUUGUCGUGGAAUUAGACCUUAAG